rnacentral:rRNA from 1 species
AAAAGAAACCAACAGGGAUUGCCUUAGUAGCGGCGAGUGAAGCGGCAAAAGCUCAAAUUUGAAAUCCUGGCACUUUCAGUGUCCGAGUUGUAAUUUGAAGAAGGUAUCUUUGGGUCUGGCUCUUGUCUAUGUUUCUUGGAACAGAACGUCACAGAGGGUGAGAAUCCCGUGCGAUGAGAUGUCCCAGACCUAUGUAAAGUUCCUUCGAAGAGUCGAGUUGUUUGGGAAUGCAGCUCUAAGUGGGUGGUAAAUUCCAUCUAAAGCUAAAUAUUGGCGAGAGACCGAUAGCGAACAAGUACAGUGAUGGAAAGAUGAAAAGAACUUUGAAAAGAGAGUGAAAAAGUACGUGAAAUUGUUGAAAGGGAAGGGCUUGAGAUCAGACUUGGUAUUUUGUAUGUUACUCUCUCGGGGGUGGCCUCUACAGUUUACCGGGCCAGCAUCAGUUUGAGCGGUAGGAUAAGUGCAAAGAAAUGUGGCACUGCUUCGGUAGUGUGUUAUAGUCUUUGUCGAUACUGCCAGCUUAGACUGAGGACUGCGGCUUCGGCCUAGGAUGUUGGCAUAAUGAUCUUAAGUCGCCC